AAUGAACGCUGGCGGCGUGCCUAACACAUGCAAGUCGGAUGUGCCGCAAGGUGCAUGGCAGACGGGUGAGUAACGCGUGGGGAAUCUACCUCUUUGUGGGGAAUAACGCUCCGAAAGGAGUGGUAAUACCGCAUAAGACCUAGGAUUGGAAUGUUCUAGGUGAAACCUGGGGACCGGCAACGGCCUGGGGCAAGGGGAGGAUCCUGCGUCUGAUUAGCUAGUUGGCGGGGUAAUGGCCCACCAAGGCGACGAUCAGUAGCCGGCCUGAGAGGGUGAUCGGCCACACUGGAACUGAGACACGGUCCAGACUCCUACGGGAGGCAGCAGUGGGGAAUUUUGCGCAAUGGACGAAAGUCUGACGCAGCAACGCCGCGUGGGUGAUGAAGGUCUUCGGACUGUAAAACCCUGUCGUCAGGGACGAAGGUGUGCAUGUUAAUAGCGUGUGCACUUGACGGUACCUGGAGAGGAAGCCCCGGCUAACUCUGUGCCAGCAGCCGCGGUAAUACAGAGGGGGCAAGCGUUAUUCGGAAUUAUUGGGCGUAAAGGGCGCGUAGGCGGUUUUUUAAGUCAGAUGUGCAAUCCCCGAGCUCAACUUGGGAACUGCAUCUGAGACUGGAAGGCUAGAGUACUGGAGAGGGUGGUGGAAUUCCUCGUGUAGCGGUGAAAUGCGUAGAGAUGAGGAGGAACACCAGUGGCGAAGGCGGCCACCUGGACAGUAACUGACGCUGAGGCGCGAAAGUGUGGGUAGCAAACAGGAUUAGAUACCCUGGUAGUCCACGCUGUAAACGAUGAACACUUGGUGUGGAGGGAGUUGACCCCUUCCGUGCCGGAGCUAACGCGUUAAGUGUUCCGCCUGGGAGUACGGUCGCAAGGCUGAAACUC
rnacentral:rRNA from 1 species